CGAAGAAGAAUAAAUGACGGUAUUCGAGGAAUAAGCAUCGGCUAACUCUGUGCCAGCAGCCGCGGUAAGACAGAGGAUGCAAGUGUUAUUCGGAUUGAUUGGGCGUAAAGCGUCUGUAGGCGGUUUGGAAAGUCUUUUGUGAAAUUCUUCAGCUCAACUGGGGGUCCGCAAAAGAAACUUCUAGGCUUGAGGGAAGUAGAGGUACAGGGAAUUUCCGGUGGAGCGGUGAAAUGCGUAGAUAUCGGAAGGAACACCAAUAUGGCGAAGGCACUGUACUGGGCUUUACCUGACGCUAAGAGACGAAAGCUAAUGGAGUGAUUAGGAUUAGAUACCCUAGUAAUUUUAGCCGUAAACGAUGGAAACUCACUGCCGAGCCGGUAUUCGGAGCGGUGGUCAAGCUAACGCGUGAAGUUUCCCGCCUGGGGACUACGCAUGCAAAUGUGAAACUCAAAGGAAUUGACGGGGACCCGCACAAGCGGUGGAGUAUGUGGUUUAAUUCGAUGCAACGCGAAAAACCUUACCAAGGUUUGAAAUCAUUUCAAAACUCUUUGAAAGAAGAGCCUCCUUCGGGAUGGAAUGACAGGUGGUGCAUGGCUGUCGUCAGCUCGUGUUGUGAAAUGUCAAGUUAAGUCUUGUAACGAGCGCAACCCAUGUCUUUUGUUGCUGUUUACAGUGCUUAAAAGAGACUGCCGCUCUACAGCGGAGGAAGGCGUGGAUGAUGUCAAGUCAGCAUGCCCCUUAUAUCUUGGGCUACACACGUACUACAAUGGUAGGGACAAUGAGUCGCAAACCUGCGAAGGCUAGCCAAUCUCAAAAACCCUAUCUCAGUUCGGAUUGUACUCUGCAACUCGAGUGCAUGAAGGUGGAAUCGCUAGUAAUCGCUGGUCAGCAUACAGCGGUGAAUACGUUCCCGGGUCUUGUACACACUGCCCGUCACACCAUGGAAGUCGAUCCUUCCCUAAGUCGUUACUCGAA
rnacentral:rRNA from 1 species